rnacentral:rRNA from 1 species
UACGUAGGGGGCGAGCGUUGUCCGGAGUUACUGGGCGUAAAGCGCACGCAGGCGGUCUGUUAAGUUUGGAGUGACAGUUGGUGGCUUAACUGCCAAAGUGCUUCGAAAACUGACAGACUUGAGGGCUUCAGAGGGACACGGAAUUCCGGGUGGAGUGGUGAAAUGCGUAGAGAUCCGGAGGAACACCAAAGGCGAAGGCG